rnacentral:rRNA from 1 species
AAUCAACGCUGGCGGCGUGCCUCAGACAUGCAAGUCGAACGAUUAAAGCUCUCUUCGGAGAGUGUAUAGAGUGGCGCACGGGUGAGUAACACGUAAGUAAUCUACCUUCGAGUGGGAAUAACCCGGGAACCGAGCUAAUACCGCAUAAUGCAGCGGCAUCUAAUGAUGACAGUUGUUAAAGAUUUUAUCGCUUGAAGAGGAGCUUGCGGCAGAUUAGCUAGUUGG